UUUUUUUUUUUUUUUUUUUUUUUUAAUAAAUAAAUAACAAUAUAAACCCAGUAAUUUACUUGAGGAAGAAAAAUGUACCCUUACUGCAAUGUCUUCAAGAGUUCUUGGGAGCAAAUUAAAGAAUUUAUGUUUUUUGAAAGUAGAGAUUCUUUACGCAUUGUCAGUUUGUUUGCAACUCUGACAGUUUGUUUUGGUUUGCUGGAAAUUUGCAUCUCCACCAAGAUAGAAAAUCAUGUCAGAGUGGCAGCAUUGUGUUCAGCAGCAAACCACUACAACCACUGGGACCAUGCAAAGUGAUAUUUUAGUGGUUUUCUAAUUAGUAUUAGAAAAUAUUAGAGACUUGAAAGGGAGGUAGACCAAGUAUUCAGUGAGAAAAUUAUAAAGUACUGGAGGAGAAAGAGCCACACAAAAUUGCAAAAGAAUAACCAAUUGAUAUAUUUACAUUAUGAAAGAACUGCAGUGUCUGAAGGACAAGGAAAGGACAAGCGAACUAAAAACCCAAGGGUUACUCUGAUAAACCUGAGCAUUUAAUUAUAAAGCAAUAUUAAUUUCACCAAUUUUUCUUCUAACUUUGCCACAUUUCUUUGUUUGCCAUCAUGCAUCCAUUAUUCCAGUAGACUUUAUCACUUUUAUAAUUACAUAAGUUUUUUUUAAUUAUUUUUUUUCCCGUUGGUUUUAAGGUCUCCUAGUGUUCAUAUGGAUUUUAGGUCUAGUGUUUGAGUUCAGACUUGGUGCAGUUCAUAGGAUGUCUGCCAUGCUGAGGCCUUUUUAUUCAUGUCGCAUGGACUCUUAACGCAGGGUUGGCACUGAGGCAGAGGAAAGGUAGCAGGAGAUUUCUACUCAGGGACCUGCUCAGUCUAAAAACGUUUCAUUUCCCCUUUUCCUUAGUCCAGAGGAAAAUUUAACCAUGUAGCAAGUGCCUGGUUCAUCAGAUGCAGCUCUCCAACCCCAGUUGUGCAUCUGCACCAUUUAGGAAAAGAUUUACAAAGCCAGACAGGGAGGCUAUGCCAAAGUAGCCAGGCUGAAGUGAUUCCCUGCUGUUACACAUAAAACUAAUGUCUGCAACAAGACAAGAACUGAGGUUUUUAGUUCAUGUGGUAUUGUUUCCUAAUAGCCCUAGCAGGUUUAUUGAAAGACAUUUUCUUCAAGCCCAUUUAUGUAAAAGAAAUCAUAAAAAUGAAUGAUGUUAUUCAUCUCAACCAAGUGAUCCAUAAAUAAAUCAUGCCAAUGCUUAGGUCAGAUGCAGCUCUCAGACAGAGCUACAGCAGACACUUCAUUUUGCAUCAAGAGAGUCUGAAUCUGGUAUGUAGUGUCUCGACAGAGAAUCAUGGAGCCACAUUCAUCUCAUUUGCAAUAGCUGUACUUCAUUACUUUUGCCAUGUAAUGGCCAUAUAUCUGUGUGACAAUUAUUUUAGAGAAAUAUAAUCUAAAAUGCCAAGGUAAAUUUUUUACAUAAAUUCAGAGGUAGUAGCACUGAUGACACUGUCAAAUGUGUUUCACUUGAUUGCUGGGAAGGCCCAGCCUCUCUCCUUACAAGCACCAGGAGCAGCACCAGAAGAGUGGGCAGUGUUGUUAUGUCAUGGAUGUUAUUCCUUCCAUGCACUUCAGUGUCUUCAGUCUGCAAUUUUGACAGAAAAAGCAAAAUCAAGUAACAACAAUGAUCCACAGACCAGGCAAUUAUCUCCAUUUGCUCUUUGAAUGAUCAAGAAAAGUUUAAGAACUUUGCUACUGCACGAACGCAGCACAGCCAGUGCUUUCCUUUUAAACACAAAAUCAGGAGUCUGGAGAAGUAUGCUGAUGGGUGAGUGCAACAUUCUCUAUAGUGACAACAGAGAUGGAGAGUGAACUGUAAUCAAAGACUUCCAGAAGCAAGUCCUGUGCAUUCAAAUGUUGGCUCUUCAUCUGAAGACCUCCUGAAGUACCAUUCCUUCACUGGCUACACUGGAGACUCCAGGAACUGUUCUCACAAAUAUUGUUUUACCAAGGACCUAACAUAUAAGGACAAAGUAGAUGACUACAGGAGGCAGAGUAUACCUAGUUCAUACCUCUUAUUAAAUCCAGAUGUCAGAUAAAAAACCCUGCUAUUCAGCAGAAGAGUCUUGCUGUCAUUUAUGUUCGUAAAGGAAGUGUUUUAACCAUGAGUUGCCUACUUUUGUGUCCUAUCACCAAGACUAACUUAUGCUUUAAUGAAACCUUAAGCAUGACUCUGUUCCAAAGAGGACAUGGAACAAAAGAGCCUGUGCUGAUCAGUAUUUUGUGGGCAAAUGAUAAAAGCCAAUACAGUUUGUAUCUAUACACUGGAAGGCUUGACAUCAUUCAAUUGCUAAAAUCUACUCCUCAGAGAAAUUCCAUCAUUUCAUGUUAAGCAGACUUCUUCCAUUUUGCCUGAAGUUUUCUAUAAAAGGGCACAUCACCUUUUAAUUAUUUAUUUUAAAGUCUUUUUGAUUCACAUUUAAUGGAAAUGUGCAGUUCUUCAAAAAUGAAUGAACUCUUUAUCACAGACUGUAAUGAGACUAUUGCUAUGGUAAUUAAUUAAAGAGUAUGACAUUCACCUGGCAUAUACUGUAAUUAUGCUUUAAUAUUGAAGCUGAUAUUUGCAACUAGCUGAAAUGAAUUAAUAAAAUAUGAUUUAUUAAAACUAGGUGUUAUUGUUAUUAUUCUUAUCAUUACAUGGAUAUCAGAUUCAAAAAAUAGCCUAUUUCUGAUGGGAAAUAAUUUAAUUUUACACUAAAUGUCCUUUAAUCAUAAUGACGUCUGUGUGAUUUUUCUAUGUUUUUCAAAUUAGAAUACCAAUCUAAAAGGACAAUUUACAAAUGACUACUAUUUAAUUUUUUAAAACUGUGCCUAAAUAUUAUUAUGCAGCUGUAAUACAUACUGGUAACCAUUCUUAUGCUAGUUUAUGACAGUGGAUUAACAAUUUCUCAGCUCUGUGUUAGCAGGGGGCUAAAAGUUGUUUCUUAUUCUAGAAUCAAAGCAAAAUAUGUCUUCUUCCUGAUUCUCACAUAAAAAUUCCCUUUGUCUUGAUCUUGUUUUUCCCAGUUCCUUCCCCAAAACGAGUAUAAUGAAAUACAGCUAUUCUGUGGUCUUUUAUUCUUCUUUCUAGCUGAACAACAGACUAGACACGUAGCUCUUGUCACGCUCUUAGUCUG